UCCGAUUUGUCACCGGUCAGAGGGAUGUCAAGACCUGGUAAGGUUCUUCGCGUUGCUUCGAAUUAAACCACAUACUCCACUGCUUGUGCGGGUCCCCGUCAAUUCCUUUGAGUUUCAGUCUUGCGACCGUACUCCCCAGGCGGAAUGCUUAAUGUGUUAACUUCGGCACCAAGGGUAUCGAAACCCCUAACACCUAGCAUUCAUCGUUUACGGCGUGGACUAC
rnacentral:misc_RNA from 1 species